CGGGGUGCACCAGGCGCGAAAACUUUGCAAUGCGGGAAACCGUGACAAGGGAACUCUGAGUGCCCGUUAAAUCGGGCUGUCCAUCGGUUUAAAUAACCGGUGAAGAAAGGGCCGGGCAAGACCGGUGCCAGCCGCCGCGGUAAUACCGGCGGCUCGAGUGGUGGCCACUAUUACUGGGCUUAAAGCGUUCGUAGCUGGUUUGUUAAGUCUCUGGGGAAAUCUUCCGGCUUAACCGGAAGGCGUCUCAGGGAUACUGGCAGACUAGGGACCGGGAGAGGUGAGAGGUACUCCAGGGGUAGGAGUGAAAUCCUGUAAUCCUUGGGGGACCACCUGUGGCGAAGGCGUCUCACCAGAACGGCUCCGACAGUGAGGGACGAAAGCUGGGGGAGCAAACCGGAUUAGAUACCCGGGUAGUCCCAGCUGUAAACGAUGCGCGUUAGGUGUAUCGGUGACCACGAGUCACCGAGGUGCCGAAGAGAAAUCGUGAAACGUGCCGCCUGGGAAGUACGGUCGCAAGGCUGAAACUUAAAGGAAUUGGCGGGGGAGCAC
rnacentral:rRNA from 1 species